CAGACGGCCGUGCUCACGGAGCGGAAAAUGAGGAGUGACGUCAGGUUGAUGUAGCGCACCAGCGUCCGGCGCAGAAGGCGGCCAUAUUCGUCUUUGCCAUGAACGCAGCUGGAGGGGGCGGAGACAGACGAGCACAGGAUUCCGAUCAUGUUCUCAUCCUUGGUGUUAGGAUCUGAACAGACUUGUUAGCUCGGAUACCUGGAGAUGUGGAACAUGAGUCUGUCGGGCCACGGCAGGUUAACAAACUGGUUCCACCAUCGGUUCACCACCAGAGUCACAUAGAAACCUGAAGAGGAGACAGAACCCGGAGUUCAUGUGUGAAGACAGUAAAUGAGGGUCAUUAAAGAACCGUUGAAACAUGGA